GCGGCCUGCGUCAGGUCCCCCGAGCAGCCCCGAAGGUGGCCCCGACCGACCUACCGAGGCCUUGGGGGCUUCGGGGAGGGAGCCCCGGGCAGGGCUGGAUGAUAUCCCAGAAGGGGCGAAAGAGGCUUUCCUCAAGCCAGCCAACCAUUUCUGCAACCUUCUCAAGCCUGCGGGGUUCUCAAGAUUCUGGAAAGGUGUGAUUUUUCCAAAGGGGGCCAGGACGUCUAUCGUCUCGAAAAGUGUUCAACCGGCUCAGUUGCCCUUGUCCUAAGGGUCGGGAACCAGAAUUUGGCGAGCCGUCGGCCUGUGCGUGGGGACGCUAUCUACAAAACCCAUUGUGGAGCAAGUCCUGUAGCUCUCAUAGGCCCUGUCUGUAUUUCUUCAACGUAGGCUCUUGGAGAAUGACCUCUCUCCCCUAGAUUCCUUAUUUUUAACCUAUCUUUUUUCCCCAUGAUAGUAAGUGCCUUUCUCGUUUAAUUUUCCAUCUUUUCAUCUACACUCAGAGGACACCGAGGAAUGGAGACAGAGCCUCUCUAAGCAAAGAUAGGAGGCCAAAAACUGUUUCGUGUACGUUUUCCCCUGGAUUAAAUCCGCAUCCCAGGAACCGCCCCUGCGUAGACCCAGCAAAACCCAGCGGCAGAACCCAGCACUCAGGUGCAUAAAACGUAUGCGUCUGCCUCUGCGAUACUCUGCCCAGGACAGCAACGUGAAAAAGCCAGCGGUUAGAGGGUUGCCAGGUACAGAGCCAGAACACCGUUUCGCUUCGCCCUCCCCCUUCCACUCUUAGAGUGGCUGGAAACUUCGACUGGAGAGAAUUUCUCCCCCCUUUCCAACUGACAACAGCGGGCUCUGCUAUUGGGGGAAAGAAAAGAAAAGCAUUUUCUGGCGGUACUCUUUUUUUUUUUUUUUUUUAAGUUCGAGCUUUAAUGUGAACUUAGAUAUAAUGACACCUUCCCGAAUCAGUCAAUAAAUACCGCGGGAGCCGCCGAACCCUGCAAGUGGCCGCAGCAAAGUCCCCAACCUCUGCCCCAUCCGUGCGGCCGCUGCGCUCCAGGCCAGGGUGCUGGUGGCCAGCCUGCCUUCCCUUUCCGGGCUCCAACGUCUGGAGAUAAAUCGAACCAAAUCAAAUUGAGGGACGUGUCAACUUUGAAACGGCUUUAAAAUCUGUGACUCCCUCCUCUGUGUGUGCCCCACUGCCUGGCGGAUAUAAAUUGUCAUACUCAAGUAUCUCCACCGAGUAAAACAGCAUCUCAAAAUA